rnacentral:rRNA from 1 species
CAUGAAUCAGUGUGUGUGUUAGUGGAAGCGUCUGGAAAGGCGCGCGAUACAGGGUGACAGCCCCGUACACAAAAAUGCACAUGCUGUGAGCUCGAUGAGUAGGGCGGGACACGUGGUAUCCUGUCUGAAUAUGGGGGGACCAUCCUCCAAGGCUAAAUACUCCUGACUGACCGAUAGUGAACCAGUACCGUGAGGGAAAGGCGAAAAGAACCCCGGCGAGGGGAGUGAAAAAGAACCUGAAACCGUGUACGUACAAGCAGUGGGAGCACAGAGCAAUCUGUGUGACUGCGUACCUUUUGUAUAAUGGGUCAGCGACUUAUAUUCUGUAGCAAGGUUAACCGAAUAGGGGAGCCGAAGGGAAACCGAGUCUUAACUGGGCGUUAAGUUGCAGGGUAUAGACCCGAAACCCGGUGAUCUAGCCAUGGGCAGGUUGAAGGUUGGGUAACACUAACUGGAGGACCGAACCGACUAAUGUUGAAAAAUUAGCGGAUGACUUGUGGCUGGGGGUGAAAGGCCAAUCAAACCGGGAGAUAGCUGGUUCUCCCCGAAAGCUAUUUAGGUAGCGCCUCGUGAAUUCAUCUCCGGGGGUAGAGCACUGUUUCGGCAAGGGGGUCAUCCCGACUUACCAACCCGAUGCAAACUGCGAAUACCGGAGAAUGUUAUCACGGGAGACACACGGCGGGUGCUAACGUCCGUCGUGAAGAGGGAAACAACCCAGACCGCCAGCUAAGGUCCCAAAGUCAUGGUUAAGUGGGAAACGAUGUGGGAAGGCCCAGACAGCCAGGAUGUUGGCUUAGAAGCAGCCAUCAUUUAAAGAAAGCGUAAUAGCUCACUGGUCGAGUCGGCCUGCGCGGAAGAUGUAACGGGGCUAAACCAUGCACCGAAGCUGCGGCAGCGACGCUUAUGCGUUGUUGGGUAGGGGAGCGUUCUGUAAGCCUGCGAAGGUGUGCUGUGAGGCAUGCUGGAGGUAUCAGAAGUGCGAAUGCUGACAUAAGUAACGAUAAAGCGGGUGAAAAGCCCGCUCGCCGGAAGACCAAGGGUUCCUGUCCAACGUUAAUCGGGGCAGGGUGAGUCGACCCCUAAGGCGAGGCCGAAAGGCGUAGUCGAUGGGAAACAGGUUAAUAUUCCUGUACUUGGUGUUACUGCGAAGGGGGGACGGAGAAGGCUAUGUUGGCCGGGCGACGGUUGUCCCGGUUUAAGCGUGUAGGCUGGUUUUCCAGGCAAAUCCGGAAAAUCAAGGCUGAGGCGUGAUGACGAGGCACUACGGUGCUGAAGCAACAAAUGCCCUGCUUCCAGGAAAAGCCUCUAAGCAUCAGGUAACAUCAAAUCGUACCCCAAACCGACACAGGUGGUCAGGUAGAGAAUACCAAGGCGCUUGAGAGAACUCGGGUGAAGGAACUAGGCAAAAUGGUGCCGUAACUUCGGGAGAAGGCACGCUGAUAUGUAGGUGAAGCGACUUGCUCGUGGAGCUGAAAUCAGUCGAAGAUACCAGCUGGCUGCAACUGUUUAUUAAAAACACAGCACUGUGCAAACACGAAAGUGGACGUAUACGGUGUGACGCCUGCCCGGUGCCGGAAGGUUAAUUGAUGGGGUCAGCGCAAGCGAAGCUCUUGAUCGAAGCCCCGGUAAACGGCGGCCGUAACUAUAACGGUCCUAAGGUAGCGAAAUUCCUUGUCGGGUAAGUUCCGACCUGCACGAAUGGCGUAAUGAUGGCCAGGCUGUCUCCACCCGAGACUCAGUGAAAUUGAACUCGCUGUGAAGAUGCAGUGUACCCGCGGCAAGACGGAAAGACCCCGUGAACCUUUACUAUAGCUUGACACUGAACAUUGAGCCUUGAUGUGUAGGAUAGGUGGGAGGCUUUGAAGUGUGGACGCCAGUCUGCAUGGAGCCGACCUUGAAAUACCACCCUUUAAUGUUUGAUGUUCUAACGUUGACCCGUAAUCCGGGUUGCGGACAGUGUCUGGUGGGUAGUUUGACUGGGGCGGUCUCCUCCUAAAGAGUAACGGAGGAGCACGAAGGUUGGCUAAUCCUGGUCGGACAUCAGGAGGUUAGUGCAAUGGCAUAAGCCAGCUUGACUGCGAGCGUGACGGCGCGAGCAGGUGCGAAAGCAGGUCAUAGUGAUCCGGUGGUUCUGAAUGGAAGGGCCAUCGCUCAACGGAUAAAAGGUACUCCGGGGAUAACAGGCUGAUACCGCCCAAGAGUUCAUAUCGACGGCGGUGUUUGGCACCUCGAUGUCGGCUCAUCACAUCCUGGGGCUGAAGUAGGUCCCAAGGGUAUGGCUGUUCGCCAUUUAAAGUGGUACGCGAGCUGGGUUUAGAACGUCGUGAGACAGUUCGGUCCCUAUCUGCCGUGGGCGCUGGAGAACUGAGGGGGGCUGCUCCUAGUACGAGAGGACCGGAGUGGACGCAUCACUGGUGUUCGGGUUGUCAUGCCAAUGGCACUGCCCGGUAGCUAAAUGCGGAAGAGAUAAGUGCUGAAAGCAUCUAAGCACGAAACUUGCCCCGAGAUGAGUUCUCCCUGACUCCUUGA